GUAGGGACCCUCCUUUGGGAAGAGACGUACCAUUAAUCCUCGAUACAUCUUUUGAUGAUGAAAAAAGAUCAAAAGAUAGAAAUGGUUGGUUGGACUUCGAUUAGGAUGUAAAUGAUAGCGAAACCAAUGAUAAAACAAAAAGAGUUCGAGAUGAUAGAAUAAAAAGUUCUAUUGAAAAAGUAAAAGAGUUCUACAAUGAAAGGAUGAAUGGGUAACCUAAGUCCAGUCUGAAAUACUUCCUCAUAUAGCUCG
rnacentral:lncRNA from 1 species